GAGAGUUUGAUUCUGGCUCAGGAUGAAUGCUGGCGGCGUGGAUAAGGCAUGCAAGUCGAACGGUGCAGGGUAGCAAUACUUUGCAUAGUGGCGAACGAGUUAGUAACACCUUGGUACAUACCUCGAAGUCGGGCACAACUAGUCGAAAGAUUAGCUAAUUCCCGAUAGUCCCGAAAGGGUAAAGUCGCAAGACGCUUUGAGAGUGGCCUAGGUCCUAUCAGCUUGUUGGCGGGGUAAAAGCCCACCAAGGCUAUGACGGGUAGGGGGCGUGAGAGCGCGACCCUCAACGACGAAACUGAGAUACGGUUCGUACACCUACGGGUGGCAGCAGUCGAGAAUAUUCGACAAUGGGCGAAAGCCUGAUCGAGCGACGCCGCGUGCGGGAAGAAGUCCUUAGGGAUGUAAACCGCUUUUGUUAGGGAAGAAUUUUGACGGUACCUGACGAAUAAGGGGUUGCUAACUCUGUGCCAGCAGCAGCGGUAAUACAGAGACCCCGAGCAUUAUCCGGAAUUACUGGGCGUAAAGAGCGAGUAGCCGGUUGUAUUAGUCUGAUGUUAAAUCCCAAGGCUUAACUUUGGGACCGCGUCGGAAACGGUACGACUAGAGCAGCUGAGAGGUAAGCGGAACGUGCAGUGUAGGGGUGAAAUCCAUUGAUAUUGCACGGAACACCAAAAGCGAAGGCAGCUUACUGGCAGUUUGCUGACGGUCAAUCGCGAAAGCGUGGGGAUCAAAAAGGAUUAGAUACCCUUGUAGUCCACGCCCUAAACUAUGCACAUUAGCUAUUGGGAGCAUCGACCCUUCCAGUGGCGUAGCCAACGCGUUAAAUGUGCCGCCUGGGAAGUACGAGCGCAAGCUUAAAACUCAAAGAAAUAGGCGGGAAUUCGCACAAGCAGUGGAUCAUGUGGUUCAAUUCGACUCUAACCGAGGAACCUCACCAAGGUUUGAAACUCAGCUGCAUACUCUGGAAACAGAGUAGCCUUCGAGGGUGCUGAGCAGGUGCUGCACGGCUGUCGUCAGCUCGUCACGUG
rnacentral:rRNA from 1 species